rnacentral:tRNA from 1 species
GUUCGAAUGGCCAAGCGGUUAAGGCGUGGGAUUGCAGAUCCUAAGGUCCCUGGUUCGAGUCCGGGUUCGAACU